rnacentral:rRNA from 1 species
ACGCUCGACACCUACGGGAGGUAGCAGUGGGGAAUAUUGCACAAUGGGGGAAACCCUGAUGCAGCGACGCCGCGUGGAGGAAGAAGGUCUUCGGAUUGUAAACUCCUGUUGUUGGGGAAAAAGAGGAUGGUACCCAACAAGGAAGUGACGGCUAACUACGUGCCAGCAGCCGUGGUAGUACUGAGGCGGGCGUGNGAGA